rnacentral:rRNA from 1 species
UACAACAUAACAUUAAUGCACCAGAUCCCAUUAGAACUCCGUAAUUAAGCGUGCUCAUGCUACAGUAGUAUUCGGAUGGGUGACCACUCGAGAAGUCCUAGUGUUUUAC